rnacentral:rRNA from 1 species
ACGUAAGAAUCUACCUUUAGGACGGGGAUAACUUCUGGAAACGGAUGCUAAUACCCGAUAUGCUGUGGAGUGAAAGGAAUUUCGCCUAAAGAUGAUCUUGCGUCUGAUUAGCUAGAUAGUGUGGUAAUGGCGCACUAUGGCGACGAUCAGUAGCUGGUCUGAGAGGAUGGACAGCCACAUUGGAACUGAGACACGGUCCAAACUCCUACGGGAGGCAGCAGUGGGGAAUUUUCCGCAAUGGGCGAAAGCCUGACGGAGCGACGCUGCGUGAAGGAUGACGGCCUGCGGGUUGUAAACUUC